GUGGGGAAUAUUGCACAAUGGGCGAAAGCCUGAUGCAGCAACGCCGCGUGAGGGACGACGGCCUUCGGGUUGUAAACCUCUUUUAGUAGGGAAGAAGCGAAAGUGACGGUACCUGCAGAAAAAGCACCGGCUAACUACGUGCCAGCAGCCGCGGUAAUACGUAGGGUGCAAGCGUUAUCCGGAAUUAUUGGGCGUAAAGAGCUCGUAGUCGGUCUGUCGCGUCUGCUGUGAAAACUGGAGGCUCAACCUCCAGCCUGCAGUGGGUACGGGCAGACUAGAGUGCGGUAGGGGAGAUUGGAAUUCCUGGUGUAGCGGUGGAAUGCGCAGAUAUCAGGAGGAACACCGAUGGCGAAGGCAGAUCUCUGGGCCGUAACUGACGCUGAGGAGCGAAAGCGUGGGGAGCGAACAGGAUUAGAUACCCUUGUAGUCC
rnacentral:rRNA from 1 species